UACUUCAUUCAAUUCAUGGAACUUCGGCG
rnacentral:piRNA from 2 species